AAAUUUGUGCUAAUACCGUAUAAUGUCUUCGGACCAAAGAUUUAUCGCCAAGGAUGAGCCCGCGUAGGAUUAGGUAGUUGGUGAAGGUAAAAGCUCACCAAGCCGACGAUCCUUAGCUGGUCUGAGAGGAUGAUCAGCCACACUGGGACUGAGACACGGCCCAGACUCCUACGGGAGGCAGCAGUGGGGAAUAUUGGACAAUGGGCGCAAGCCUGAUCCAGCAAUGCCGCGUGAGUGAUGAAGGCCUUAGGGUUGUAAAGCUCUUUACCCGGGAUGAUAAUGACAGUACCGGGAGAAUAAGCUCCGGCUAACUUCGUG
rnacentral:rRNA from 1 species